UACGUAGGGUGCAAGCGUUGUCCGGAAUUAUUGGGCGUAAAGAGCUCGUAGGCGGUCUGUCGCGUCGGCUGUGAAAACCCGAGGCUCAACCUCGGGCCUGCAGUCGAUACGGGCAGACUAGAGUUCGGUAGGGGAGACUGGAAUUUCUGGUGUAGCGGUGAAAUGCGCAGAUAUCAGGAGGAACACCGGUGGCGAAGGCGGGUCUCUGGGCCGAAACUGACGCUGAGGAGCGAAAGCGUGGGGAGCAAACAGG
rnacentral:rRNA from 1 species